GACGAACGCUGGCGGCGUGCUUAACACAUGCAAGUCGAACGGAAAGGCCUCUUUCGGGGGGUACUCGAGUGGCGAACGGGUGAGUAACACGUGAGUAACCUGCCCUUGACUUUGGGAUAACUUCAGGAAACUGGGGCUAAUACCGGAUAGGAGCUCCUGCUGCAUGGUGGGGGUUGGAAAGUUUCGGCGGUUGGGGAUGGACUCGCGGCUUAUCAGCUUGUUGGUGGGGUAGUGGCUUACAAAGGCUUUGACGGGUAGCCGGCCUGAGAGGGUGACCGGCCACAUUGGGACUGAGAAACGGCCCAGACUCCUACGGGAGGCAGCAGUGGGGAAUAUUGCACAAUGGGUGGAAGCCUGAUGCAGCAACGCCGUGUGCGGGAUGACGGCCUUCGGGUUGUAAACCGCUUUCGCUCAUGACGAAGCUUUGUGUGACGGUAGUGGGUAAAGAAGCACCGGCUAACUACGUG
rnacentral:rRNA from 1 species